GGAUGUGAGGGCAAUCUGGCUGUGAUAUCUGUCACCCCAUUGAUGGCCAGGGUUGAUUCAGCUGAUCUGGCUGGCUAGGCAGGUGUCUCCUUCCUCUCUCACUGCUCCAUGUGCAUCCCUCCCAAAGCUGUGCACUUGGAAGAAGAGAAAGACCUUCCCUGAUAGCAAAGGACCGUUUUUCGGUCAAGGGUAUAUGGGUAGCUGCACUCCCCUGCUAGGACGUCCAAACAAGCUCUCAAGGUCCAUUUGUAGGAGAAUGUAGGGUAGUCAAGCUUCCGAGAUUCCAGACGCAUCCAAAUGAGGCACCGCAUGUGGCACUCUGCCUUUCUUU
ensembl:misc_RNA 7SK 7SK RNA